GGGUGUUGGUAACUGUGAAGAUGGGAAAUGCAGUGAACGGUCAACUCUGAAAUACAAUCAAUUGAGUUCCCAAGUUAAGAAAACAAAUAGAGGGAUGAAUUUCCCUGUAAAUAAGGAGCUUUGUGCUGCUAAGAGCAAUAACAAUUUCCAAGAAUCACAUAUUGUUUCCUCCAGAACUCUGAAGAGAGGAUUGCCCGAUUGUUAUUCUCAAGUUGAUGCACCUGCAAGAACUUCCCAGAAGUUUAGAGUAAUUGCGAAAGAGGGGAUGAAGUAGGAAGUUUGUACACCUUGCUUCCAAAUCUCUAGUAAUGAUAUUGGGGCCACCUUUGAGCCUUGAAUGUGUUUUGCUGAGGGAUGCAGAACCAGAGUUAUGCAGCUGCCAAGGGAUGUCCUGAUAUGUGACUACUUGAAAGGGAUUGCAUGUCAAGCCAGCAGCUAGUAGAUUUUCUACGUGAGCAGUUGAACACAGUGUUUGGCACCAUCUAUUUCUGGCGGUGAGGGAUGUGACAACAUGACCAUGAUCUUGGUGCAGUUCAAGAAACCCCAUGAGUGCUGCUGCUGCUGCUGAUGCAGAUGAGAAAUCCUCGACUUCUGAUCAUGGAAAUCAGUCUGCUACUGCAGCUGCAGACGAGAAAUCCUCAACUUCUAACCCAGCCGAUACUGAAUUGAAACCAGCGGAAACUGAGUCAAGCCCGUGACAAGUUUAUCAAUGUGUCAUCAGAUUGCGUUGGUGCGAGCUGUAGUUCCAAGGAUAUUCAACAAUCCUUGGUUGUCUCUGUAACUGAAGACAGUUUGGCCGGUAAAGAUGGGCCGGUUACAAAUUUACCAUUGAGAUUCACUGUGUGGUGUGUUUUUUUCCUUUUUCUAUACGAUGUUAUAAUUGCAAGUAACUUGUACAAAAUAGAUCUGGAUCAAAGUUGUUCAACUGUCAUCUAGUUUAGCAGUCUAUAUUAGCUUGAUAAUGGUUUUGAUAUA